rnacentral:rRNA from 1 species
UACGUAGGGUGCAAGCGUUGUCCGGAAUUAUUGGGCGUAAAGAGCUCGUAGGCGGUCUGUCGCGUCUGCUGUGAAAACUCAGGGCUUAACCCUGAGCUUGCAGUGGGUACGGGCAGACUAGAGUGCGGUAGGGGAGACUGGAAUUCCUGGUGUAGCGGUGAAAUGCGCAGAUAUCAGGGGGAACACCAGUGGCGAAGGCGGUGCUCUGGGCCGGAACUGACGCUGGAGGUGACGAAAGCGUGGUAGCGAACAGG